GAGUCUGUUGUUAUUAUUCAUAUUAAUUUUUUUAAAAGUUUUUAUUUUUUAUUUUAGUUUAUUUAAUUUUAAAAGAUGUAAUAAAUUUUAGGAAUAGAUAAUAAUAAUUUAUAAUUUUGAUUAGAUGUAUUUGUUAAUGCUAUAAAAUGGGUGUGGAAAUAUUUGUAAAAUUUAUAACAUAAUAAUAAUAAUAAAUCACAUUAAAUUAUUAGUCAGAAAUGGAUGCCAGCCGUUGCGGUAAUUUCUAUGCUUUUAAAUAUUAUACAUUUAUCAAAUAAAAUUGUUAAUAUCAAAUUUUAGCCAAAAAAAAUUAUUGUUAACCUUUAUUUGUUUUUAAACACCAUAUGGUAUAUGCAAAUAUAAAAUUAUAGUAAUUAUGUAUUAUAUUAUAUUAUAUUUAUUCACAUAUUUUACAUAAAAAUAUUUAAUGAUUUUGACACCAUGAUAAGGCUUUAAAUAUUGAAAUUGUAAAUUUUAUAAUCAAAACUUAUUAUUUAUAUGAAAUAUUAAAAUUUAGAUAAAACAAUAAAUUAAAAAGGUAUUGUUGCCCACCAAUUUUUAUAAUAAAAAUAACGUGCAGUAAUUAAUAUAUUUAUAAAAAUGUAUUUU
rnacentral:rRNA from 1 species